rnacentral:rRNA from 1 species
UAGCUCUCGGCCUGACCCGUCGUUCGGUCACCGGAAAGGAGGAGAAGCACCUGUCGCGACGAGGAGGGCGCCGAUCCCAAUGACGGCGGCGGCGGCGGCGGCAGCGGGACGCGAGCACAGGAGAGGUAGAGGGCGGAUGGCCUACAGGCGGGCCUCGAGGUGGAGGAGUUUGGGGACGAUCACGAGACGGGGAAGGAGGAGCAAACAGCGAGCCCCCGUACCGCGGCAGCCCACCUACAGGCGGACGUAGGAAAGGUCAGGACCGCGGAGGUUACCGGCCGGCCGAGGUUAUCGUCGGUGGUUGCAUGUACUAGAGGGGACCGAUGGAAAUAAAUUUCGAGUUCCGAGCUUCCCUACUCCACCCGGUUCGGCCGCGUGUGCUGUUCGCCUACGCCGACGUCGAGGCUACGCCCGCGGUGUCUCCACCUACACCUCGACGAUGUUGACCGCUUACCUGCCGGCGCUGCCGCUACUGUCGAAGGUGCUCAAGUUAGUGGAGGUGACGAUGUAGUCCAAACAACGAACGAGGGGAAAACCAGGCCAGUUCCGAAACUAAACAAACGAAACAAGUUGUCAAGGUGAGAGGACGCAGCUAGACUGUAGACUACCUAUUCCUCCAUCGAUCCCACAUUAGUACGUGUUUUGCAACCCAAGAGGUACCUACCAAAACCGGCAUACGUAGAAACACUACGUCUCCGACCCCAUUUGGGGGAAAAGCUUUUUUUCUCUCUUGAACUUGAGUAAACCCACCGUUUAUCCUACGUGUAACUCUUAGAGUUGAGGAACUAAAGGGGGACAUGAUUUAUUACCUCACACCUCUUAAUUCCGUGAGCUCCUGAGCCCUUAUACCUACCUCUCUUGCUGUCAACUUAUGUACCUAUAACGACAGGCUCGUGUAUGUUUCCCUACCUUCAAAGACAUACCUUAAGAAUUGCUACAAGUCACAAUCACACUUAACGACCUCAGUAUGCUUCGUAUGUCUUUUGUUGUUCUAUCUACCGUAAGACCAGGUCACGUCGACAAAUCUGAGACGAAACACCUGUAAUAGUUUAGUUUCCCGCUAGAACAGCGGGUGGCUCUUCGUUAGGUUCGUCGUCUCUCAUCCCAGACGCGGCUUGGAGCUGAGGGAUAGUUUCCUCCCCUUCACCGACGCUCGUGCGGUAGCCGCAACCCAGCUACCACAGUACGGAGCCUUCGGUUCUAGUCCGUUCCGUCUACCCUUCUUUGUCACUGCGGAGAGGGGGCUCGAGGUCUAGGUACCUUCUUUGUUGUUCUGGGGCACUGCUACGACUACGGGGACACCAGCUGAUGCAGUGGCUGCUGGGGAGGAACAGACUCGUUGGUCCGUUCGGGGGGGCGGGAACUAGUGGUCUAUAGUGGAUAAGAUGAGAUAUGACGAACGUAAUCUCAUCACAUCGUACAACGACGAAAGUUAAUUAGGAUAUGACGACGUAUCGUACAGGAACGAUGAUGACAACAAUGGAAAUGGACGUUAGGAUGUACGAAUCAUAUCCUACUAUCAUAAGGUAGUCACCGGGAUGUAAGAACAGGCAGACUACAUGAUAUGAUAGCCCAACACUAGUGAACCCUACACUAGUGCCCAUAUAUGAUAUAUGAAAUAUGUACUGUGUACACCACUGAUUUCAGUCCAGUCGAGCGACUCAUGGGCGUUCACUAAGACUACUCCUCCGACUUUCCUGUCCACCGAGGUAGGACCAUCUCCACCCGGACCCAAGGGCUGCCGGGGGCUGACAAUGAUACACCGCCUCGCUGUCCCGUCCAACUCUGGUGGAUCCUCUCUCCACCCGGACCGGGACAAGCUGCAAGCGCCUAUGAAUUGUGCG